UACGUAGGGUGCAAGCGUUGUCCGGAAUUAUUGGGCGUAAAGAGCUCGUAGGCGGUUUGUUGCGUCGGCUGUGAAAUCCCGAGGCUCAACCUCGGGUCUGCAGUCGAUACGAGCAAACUAGAGUGUUGCAGGGGAGACUGGAAUUCCUGGUGAUAGCGGUGAAAUGCGCAGAUAUCAGGAGGAACACCGGUGGCGAAGGCGGC
rnacentral:rRNA from 1 species